CGGGGAUGUAGGGAGCGGGCGCUCUGCGGCCCCAAAGGCCCGCUCCCGGGGCAGUGGGCGCCCGGACCCGGGCAGCGACCCCCCCAAACCCGACAGGGCUGCCCGGAGCCCCGUCGGGCGACGCCUUAGAAGGUCAACCUCAGGCGUAGCCUGUUAGCCAUCACCCCAGCCUCUGUGCCUUCUACUUCGUCUUCAGAUGCUCUAACAGAGACCUGAGAACAGGGUGCAAGCGGAUGACUGGAAUCUACACCCCAGGCUCAUCACAGAUCAUACAGCACUUCAG